AUAUCUUUCACCCCUUCUCUCCAACCGUCUCACUGUCACGCUCAGUCUCUCGCCCGGGUGCCAUUUCUUUUCUUAAACUGCUCUCUCAGGCUCAGCACUAAAGAGAUUUGUGGCCUUUGAGUUGAAGCCGUGCAAUAUGAGGUUCUAAGAUCAGACAUGUUCAUCUUCACUAAGGAAGCUUUCAACCGCCACAGUUAUAGGUUAUGCUUCAAUUUGACAGUUAUUAAGGCACGGAAGCAGACGAUGUUUAGGCCACCAAAAAGUAAGGAGGUUAUUUUUAUGGGUUCGCAAGUGAGAUCCUUUUUUCCUGCUCUGUUAGCCACUAAAUCCAGGAAGCUCGUCAUGAAUGGAGACUAAUCAUUUUAUGGCUUGUAUUGUUGAAUCACCGAAGAAGAAAAGAAGGAUUUACAAGAGAAUCCAAUGGUACGGCGAUUUUUUAGAUGUAUUCUCAACAGAAUUUUCAAGAUCGCCUCUAAAGUGAGAAGUUGAGUUUGGAAUCGAAUGUGUCCCGAGUAUCACUUCUAUAUCCAACGUACCUUAUAGACUAAAUUAUUAUGUUAUGUUAUGAUAUUUUAGAAUUG